AAACGCAGAAGGCAUCUUUAAUUUGACAGACCAAGAAUUAUCUAAAGAGACAAUGGAAGUUUUACAGAAAGGCCUAAAAUUUGCCCCUACCGCAGAUUUGAAUAAAUUUGAUCUGUUUAUAGAUGUCAAUAAAUUUAUUAGACAGUUAUGUUUAAAGAAAUUUUUCGCCAAUCAAAAGGAAACUCAGAAGGAAAAGGAAGAGGUUGUAUUAGAGUAUAAACAUACGGAUUUAAAAACAAAAUCCAACUUUUUUCCUAAAUACCUCAUCUCUGAUGAAAUUAAAGCGUUUGAAUUAAUGGUCACGAAAGAGAUAAGACAAAUUAGGCCAUUGAAUAAAUAACAAUACAAUAUGUCAAAUAAAGAAAAGAAUGUGGUUAAGGAAUUAAAACAAAAUAGAGAGAUGGUCAUCAAACCGGCAGAUAAGGGGGGGGGGGUUGUUAUAUCUUCAAGGUCAAGUUAUGUGCAAGAAGCAGAACGAAUUUUGUCUGACCCUCUCACAUAUCAAAAGUUGGAUAGAAAUCCAAUCGAGGAGAUAAAAAAGAAAUUUGAUGAAUAUAUUAAGAAAGGUUUAGAAAAGGAAAUACUAACAAUAGAUGAAGCUAAGUAUCUGUCUACUCCGCACCCUAAAACUCCGGUUUACUAUCAUUUACCAAAGGUACAUAAAGAUAGGAGAAAUCCACCGGGUAGACCAAUAAUAUCCGGGAUUGACUCCGUCUCAGCGAAGGUAUCAGAAUACUUAGAUAAAUUGUUGCAACCUCUGGUUGUAUGCAAUCCCGCUUAUCUAAAAGACACUAUACAUAUUUUGAAGCUUUUAGAAGAGACGACUUGGAAAGAGGGUAAUUUUUUGGUUACGUGCGACGUAACCUCUCUUUAUAGUAUCAUACCACAUAAGAUUGGAUUGGAAGCUGUGCAAUAUUUUUUAAGGAAACAUAAUUUUAAAGAGGAACAGAUUUUAUAUAUUUUAGAAGGCAUCCACCUGAUUUUAACUAACAAUUUUUUUGGUUUCAAGACGUUUUUUAUCUUCAAAUUCGGGGAACGGCGAUGGGCACCAAG